rnacentral:rRNA from 1 species
CGAGCGAAUGGAUUGAAGAGCUUGCUCUCAAGAAGUUAGCGGCGGACGGGUGAGUAACACGUGGGUAACCUGCCCAUAAGACUGGGAUAACUCCGGGAAACCGGGGCUAAUACCGGAUAACAUUUUGAACCGCAUGGUUCGAAAUUGAAAGGCGGCUUCGGCUGUCACUUAUGGAUGGACCCGCGUCGCAUUAGCUAGUUGGUGAGGUAACGGCUCACCAAGGCAACGAUGCGUAGCCGACCUGAGAGGGUGAUCGGCCACACUGGGACUGAGACACGGCCCAGACUCCUACGGGAGGCAGCAGUAGGGAAUCUUCCGCAAUGGACGAAAGUCUGACGGAGCAACGCCGCGUGAGUGAUGAAGGCUUUCGGGUCGUAAAACUCUGUUGUUAGGGAAGAACAAGUGCUAGUUGAAUAAGCUGGCACCUUGACGGUACCUAACCAGAAAGCCACGGCUAACUACGUGCCAGCAGCCGCGGUAAUACGUAGGUGGCAAGCGUUAUCCGGAAUUAUUGGGCGUAAAGCGCGCGCAGGUGGUUUCUUAAGUCUGAUGUGAAAGCCCACGGCUCAACCGUGGAGGGUCAUUGGAAACUGGGAGACUUGAGUGCAGAAGAGGAAAGUGGAAUUCCAUGUGUAGCGGUGAAAUGCGUAGAGAUAUGGAGGAACACCAGUGGCCAAGGCGACUUUCUGGUCUGUAACUGACACUG